rnacentral:rRNA from 1 species
AUUGAACGCUAGCGGCAUGCCUUACACAUGCAAGUCGAACGAGUGGCGGACGGGUGAGUAAUAUCUCGGAACGUGCCCAGUGGCGGGGGAUAACUACUCGAAAGAGUGGCUAAUACCGCAUACCAUCGGAGCGGCCGAUAUCGGAUUAGCUAGUUGGUGGGGUAAAGGCUAACCAAGGCAACGCUCCCUAGCUGGUCUGAGAGGAAGACCAGCCACACGGGAACUGAGACACGGCCCAGACUCCUACGGGAGGCAGCAGUGGGGAAUUUUGGACAAUGGGGGAAACCCUGAUCCAGCCAUCCCGCGUGUAUGAGAAGGCCUUCGGGUUGUAAAGUACUUUGGGCAGGGAAGCGGUAACUGCAGAAUAAGCACCGGCUAACUACGUGCCAGCGGCCGCGGUAAUUC